rnacentral:rRNA from 1 species
AGCUCCAAUAGCAUAUACUAACGUUGUUGCAGUUAAAAAGCUCGUAGUUGGAUUUCUGGCCGAUGACGGCUAGGUGGGACCUCGUUGUUCCACUUAUCGUUCAUUAGUCAAAAUUUGUCACAAAUCUGUAUGUUUCCUUAAUUGGAAUCUGCAGACUAAUGACUCGUUUACUUUGAGAAAAUUAGAGUGUUCAAAGCAGGCAAUCGCCUUGAAUAUGUUAGCAUGGAAUAAUAACAUAGGACUUUGGUUCUAUUUGUUGGUUGUUCGAGAACUGGAGUAAUGAUUGAUAGGGACGGUUGGGGGCAUCCGUAUUCCCAAGCGAGAGGUGAAAUUCUUGGACCUUGGGAAGACGAACAGAUGCGAAAGCGUUUGCCAAGGACGUUCUCU